GAUUAAUCUUCUUGGCUCUGACGUCUUACUUUAUAUACCGGUACUGCUUCCCUUGCAGAAAUCCUUGUGCUGGACGGUGCGUGCGCAAACCAUCCGCUCCAAAACCGAAACCACCGCCUCCACCAGCGAAACCCAAACCAGUGGAGCCUAAAAAAGCUGCCGCCUCCGCCUCCGCCACCAGCGCCUAAGGCGCCG
rnacentral:sRNA from 1 species